rnacentral:rRNA from 1 species
CAGAAAGACCCUAUGAAGCUUUACUGUAACUUGAAAUUGAAAUUGGACUUUAUUCGCGCAGUAUAGGUGGGAAGCGUUGAAAGUACUUUUGCGGAAGUACUGGAGCUAUCAGUGAGAUACCACUCUUGUAAUGUUAGAUUUCUAACUUUGAACCAUUAUCUGGUCAGAGGACAGUUUCAGGCGGGCAGUUUGACUGGGGCGGUCGCCUCCCAAACGGUAACGGAGGCGUACAAAGGUUUCCUCUGAACGUGUAGAAAUCGUAUCUAGAGUGUAAAGGCAUAAGGAAGCUUGACUGUGAGACCUACAAGUCGAGCAGGGACGAAAGUCGGUCUUAGUGAUCUGACGGUACUGAGUGGAAAGGCCGUCACUCAACGGAUAAAAGUUACUCUAGGGAUAACAGGCUGA